CAUCCUCUGCGGUGUUCGUCAGCGGGCUGGGUUAACUCUUGACCCUAUAUUCAACCCAGGGGGACAUAAGCGUGAUCGUUGUGUGCAUGUCCGCGUCGUGCGGAAAGCCUGAUACGUCACCGUUGUCCCCACACUUGAACCUACGGUUCAAGGGCGAAGGCCCGUAACGGCACAGGUGGAGGAUGC
rnacentral:other from 1 species